rnacentral:lncRNA from 1 species
AUGUAUGUGUUUAUUCUAGAACACAAGAUUGUUCCUCCUUCUCCUGUAGACCAUUCAGAAUCAAGAUUGCUCAGUGCUUUGCCCAGAAAAAUAGACCCAAUGAGUGUGAAGGUGAGUGUGAAGGAAGGGAGAUGGUGGAGGAGGCUGUUGAGGAUUCUGGAAGAAGGCAGCUCGACGAGAAAGACCAAAUGGGACUCUAAGAGUAGUGAGAACUCUUUCUUGAUUUUUGUUGCACUGUUGCGAAUAAGAAAAAUUUGGAAUGAAGGAAAAAAGCAGGCACCUCCUCUAAUGAUGACAUCUCCCCACCUGGGACGUCCUCUCAGGCAUCCACUGACCUCCUGCCCUCCCUCUCCACCCCUUCAAUUAUUGCUUCUUGGCUUCUGGGCAUAAAGAUGGGAUACCCGAUAUAUCUUCCACAGGCUUCAAAGGAGCCAAGUUGGCAAAUGAAAACUAGUUUUAUAAAAAGAUGUCAUGAUAGUGAUCCAAGGGGGAAAAAUAGUAACCCUAAAGGGGUAGAAAGGAUGUGCCGAUGCUAAGACAGAUUCAGUCUCUAUUUACACCAUUCUUGAUUUAACAUUCCUAAGGACAAAACUCUCAAUUGCUAAAUCACACUUUUCCUUCUAACUGUUUUCUCUGAGGAAGCGUUGAAACUCAGCCAAGAGAGUAGGAGGUGCAACCCAUUCCUCCCACCCUAUUCAGGUCCAACAGCCAUGUGGGAUGCCCAAGAAACCUGUGCUUGAGUUGGGAUAUUGAGGCCUAGCAGUUCCAUCUCUGCUCCUGUCAAGUUCCUCCGCAUCUUGUCCCCAUCUCCUGUCAUCUCAUCUACCUGUGCCUUCUGCUCUCAGCCCAGUGCCCUAUCCCUCCAACUCUCACUUUAAUGACCCAGGAGCCUUCUGACUAGGUACUCGGGAAUCAUGUUCUCUUUUAAGGGGCACUCUCUGUUUCUUUAACAUCUUCGUAGAACAUUCUCUUCAACUUGCCUUUCUACAAGAUACCAUAUAUUUUUCAGCUCUCUCCAAUGGUUGGACUUGUUCUCCACACCCAAGACACUUCAGGCCUGCUGGUGGUGGUGGAGGGAGGGAUUAUUCAGCAACAACUAGGCUACCCAUUAGCUGAUUCCAUUAUUUUACCCAUCCCUUCAUGUCAGGGGCUGUCCUCUUAUAACACUUAGGCAACGUGACCCUCAUUACCCUCUAUCUCUCCCUCCUAACUCUUUUAAUAGUUGGGCCACUUAUCUACAAUGUCGACUGGAGACUUUGUUACCUAUUCAUCCUCUCCCAAAUACACAAAUAUCCCAUCCUGGGAUAUUUUAACAAUACGUUUAGUUUUAUAUUCUUUGAACUUAACCCUAUGGAUCUUUUGUUUACAUUUCAGUACCCUACUCCUUAGG